AUUAAGUUUUUAUUUUUCCCCCUUUUUUGCCUUUUGGUUAAAUCGACCCCUCCAAAUAUAGUGAAUGACAAAUAUAUUCUUACAAAGUUCAAUUUUCAUAUGUUGUUUCUACAAAAGUUCUAAUAUUUUCAAAUAUGUUUUUCAGGUAUGUUACCGUUACAGAACCGUUUAUACUUUCAAUUUUAUCAUUACAAAUGUCUUUCCAAAAGGCAUAACAAUAUAAUUCAAGAGGAUUAAAAAUGUCAAAAAUUAAUCAAGGUUAAGCAUUUAAUCUAUGAUUAACUAAAUUUUUCUAAUGGAUUCUAACGAUAGGAAUAUAUUUGAAAACAUCAGAACUUUUAUAGCGACAAUAUAUGAAAAUUAAACUUUGUAGGAAUAUAUUUGUCAUUCACUAUAUUUGUAGGGAUCUGUAUAAAAUUAGUCCUAAAAAGUAUAUCAAUUUAAAAUUUUAUCAGAACAUAUAUUCUGGAGAAUAAUUGUUAGGGCAGAA
rnacentral:lncRNA from 1 species